rnacentral:rRNA from 1 species
CAAUAGCGUAUAUUUAAGUUGUUGCAGUUAAAAAGCUCGUAGUUGGAUUUCGGGUGGGACGCAGCGGUCUCGCAUUGCGUUUGUACUGCUGCAGCCCUCCUUCUUGCCGGGGGCGGCCUAUCGGACUUCACUGUCUGGGGGUCAGAAUCGGCGAUGUUACUUUGAGUAAAUUAGAGUGUUCAAAGCAAGCUUACGCUCUGAAUAUAAUAGCAUGGGAUAACACGACAGGACUCUGGCCUAUCGUGUUGGUCUAUAGGACCAGAGUAAUGAUUAAGAGGGACAGUCGGGGGCAUUCGUAUUCCGUUGUCAGAGGUGAAAUUCUUGGAUUUACGGAAGACGAACAUCUGCGAAAGCAUUUGCCAAGGAUGUUUUCAUUGA